rnacentral:rRNA from 1 species
GAUGAACGCUAGCGACAGGCCUAACACAUGCAAGUCGAGGGGCAGCACGAAUUAAGCUUGCUUGAUUUGGUGGCGACCGGCGCACGGGUGCGUAACAGGUGUGCAAUCUGUCCAUAAUCGGGGAAUAGCCCAGCGAAAGUUGGAUUAAUGCUCCAUGUGAGUUUUAGAGGCAUCUCUUUAAUUUGAAACGUAAGGAUUAUGGGUGAGCACGCUUCUGAUUAGGUAGUUGGUGAGGUAACGGCUCACCAAGCCGACGAUCAGUAGGGGUUCUGAGAGGAAGGUCCCCCACAUUGGAACUGAGACACGGUCCAAACUCCUACGGGAGGCAGCAGUGAGGAAUAUUGGUCAAUGGACGCAAGUCUGAACCAGCCAAGUCGCGUGAAGGAUGAAGGUUCUAUGGAUUGUAAACUUCUUUUGUCUGAGGGUAAAAAAGCGGACGUGUCCGUUCUUGCAAGUAUCAGACGAAUAAGCAUCGGCUAACUCCGUGCCAGCAGCCGCGGUAAAAC